rnacentral:rRNA from 1 species
GACGAACGCUGGCGGCGUGCCUAAUACAUGCAAGUAGAACGCUGAAGGAGGAGCUUGCUUCUCUGGAUGAGUUGCGAACGGGUGAGUAACGAGUAGGUAACCUGCCUGGUAGCGGGGGAUAACUAUUGGAAACGAUAGCUAAUACCGCAUAAUAGCAGUUAUUGCAUGAUAACUGUUUGAAAGGUGCAAUUGCACCACUACCAGAUGGACCUGCGUUGUAUUAGCUAGUUGGUGGGGUAACGGCUCACCAAGGCGACGAUACAUAGCCGACCUGAGAGGGUGAUCGGCCACACUGGGACUGAGACACGGCCCAGACUCCUACGGGAGGCAGCAGUAGGGAAUCUUCGGCAAUGGACGGAAGUCUGACCGAGCAACGCCGCGUGAGUGAAGAAGGUUUUCGGAUCGUAAAGCUCUGUUGUAAGAGAAGAACGAGUGUGAGAGUGGAAAGUUCACACUGUGACGGUAUCUUACCAGAAAGGGACGGCUAACUACGUG